rnacentral:rRNA from 1 species
GACGAACGCUGGCGGCGUGCUUAACACAUGCAAGUCGAACGGAAAGGCCCUGCUUUUGUGGGGUGCUCGAGUGGCGAACGGGUGAGUAACACGUGAGUAACCUGCCCUUGACUUUGGGAUAACUUCAGGAAACUGGGGCUAAUACCGGAUAGGAGCCCCUGCUGCAUGGUGGGGGUUGGAAAGUUUCGGCGGUUGGGGAUGGACUCGCGGCUUAUCAGCUUGUUGGUGGGGUAGUGGCUUACCAAGGCUUUGACGGGUAGCCGGCCCGAGAGGGUGACCGGCCACAUUGGGACUGAGAUACGGCCCAGACUCCUACGGGAGGCAGCAGUGGGGAAUAUUGCACAAUGGGCGGAAGCCUGAUGCAGCAACGCCGCGUGCGGGAUGACGGCCUUCGGGUUGUAAACCGCUUUCGCCUGUGACGAAGCGUGAGUGACGGUAAUGGGUAAAGAAGCACCGGCUAACUACGUG